ensembl:lncRNA
CUUUCCCAGCUCUGCUUUUCCCUGCUCCAAAGCCCUUUCCCAGCUCUGGUUUUCCCAGCUCCUGAGCCCUUUCCCAGCUCUGCUUUUCCCUGUCCCAGAGCCCUUUUCCAACCCUGGUUUUCCCUGUCCUGAGCCCUUUCCCAGCCUGGUUUUCCCUGUCCCAGAGCCCUUUCCCAGCUCUGAUUUUCCCAGCCUGCUUUUCCCUGUCCCAGAACCCUUUCCCAGCCUGGUUUUCCCUGUCCCAGAGCCCUUUCCCAGCCUGCUUUUCCCUGUCCCAGAACCCUUUCCCAGCCUGCUUUUCCCUGUCCCAGAGCCCUUUCCCAGCCCUGGUUUUCCCUGUCCCAGAGCCCUUUCCCAGCUCUGCUUUUCCCUGUCCCAGAGCCCUUUCCCAGCCCUGGUUUUCCCUGCUCCAAAGCCCUUUUCCCCCCUGGUGUUCCCUGUCCCAGAGCCCUUUCCCAGCUCUGCUUUUCCCUGUCCCAGAGCCCUUUCCCAGCCUGGUUUUCCCAGCUCCUGAACACUUUCCCAGCUCUGCUUUUCCCUGUCCAGAGUCCUUUCCCAGCCUGUUUUUCCCUGUCCCAGAGUCCUUUCCCAGCCUGGUUUUCCCUGUCCCAGAGCCUUUUCCCUGUCUGGAUUUCCUUGUCCCAGAUCCUUUUCCCAACCUGGUUUUCCUUGUCCCAGAUCCUUUUCCCAGCUCUGCUUUUCCCUGUCCCAGAGCCUUUUCCCAGCUCUGCUUUUCCCUGUCCCAGAGCCCUUUCCCAACCUGGUUUUCCUUGUCCCAGAGCCUUUUCCCAACCCUGAUUUUCCCUGUCCCAGAGCCCUUUCCCAGCUCUGCUUUUCCCUGCUCCAAAGCCCUUUCCCAGCUCUGGUUUUCCCAGCUCCUGAGCCCUUUCCCAGCUCUGCUUUUCCCUGUCCCAGAGCCCUUUUCCAACCCUGGUUUUCCCUGUCCUGAGCCCUUUCCCAGCCUGGUUUUCCCUGUCCCAGAGCCCUUUCCCAGCUCUGAUUUUCCCAGCCUGCUUUUCCCUGUCCCAGAACCCUUUCCCAGCCUGGUUUUCCCUGUCCCAGAGCCCUUUCCCAGCCUGGUUUUCCCUGUCCCAGAGCCCUUUCCCAGCCUGCUUUUCCCUGUCCCAGAGCCCUUUCCCAGCCUGCUUUUCCCUGUCCCAGAACCCUUUCCCAGCGGGGUUUUCCCUGUCCCAGAGCCUUUUCCCUGUCUGCUUUUCCCUGUCCCAGAGCCUUUUCCCAGCCCUGGUUUUCCCUGUCUGCUCUUCCCUGUCCCAGAGCCCUUUCCCAGCCUGUUUUUCCCUGUCCCAGAGCCCUUUCCCAGCGGGCUCUUCCCGUUUUUCCUGACGGAUUCCGUUCCCUUGCAGCGAGAACGAGGCCCUGUGGCGGGAGGUGGCCAGCCUGCGCCAGAAGCACGCCCAGCAGCAGAAGGUGGUCAACAAGCUCAUCCAGUUCCUGAUUUCCUUGGUGCAAUCCAACCGAAUUCUCGGGGUCAAGAGGAAGAUGUGAGUCUGCAUUCCUGCAUCCACGGAAAAAUUCCAGGGGGACAAAGGCAGGACCGGCAGAGUUGGGAUCCCCCAGAUC